AUGCGUUACCAAGAUGACGGAGGGGAUCCUGAGGUUCCAGGUCUGGACUCAGCUGCGUGGCUCCCGGCUCCUGUGAGCUGCGGUCCCUCGUCUGUGAAGUGGGGACAACGGGAAAUAGUCUGGAGUUUCCUCAAAAGUUAUGAGUUGUCACGUGACCCAACACUUCCACUCGGAGGCCCCGAAGCAUUGAACACAUACCUUGAGACAAACCCCACAAACCCUACAGUGUUUGUUGUAGCAGGUGUCCAGGAAAACCCGGGCGUCCAUCAGUACGGACCAUCAAACGCAGAGGCCCACGGACGGGCCUGGACUCCGUCCGACGUGUCCCUGGGCGCACAGAGCUGCUGCUCUCCCCUUCGCUUCUUUCCUCUUUGUCUGUUCUUGGACCCUGUCUUGAAUCGGUGCGGCUGAGCCCCGGACAGUUUUCCAUGUGCGUGUGUCCCUGGGAUACCGUGACCGCAGCCGACAGACUGUGAAAUGUGUCUUAGAAUAAAAGCGCUCACAGUGUGCA
rnacentral:lncRNA from 1 species